rnacentral:misc_RNA from 1 species
GGAGGGCUUUGUAUAAGGUGAAGUAUACCUAUACCAAGAAAACAAAUAAUGCUAACUGUGGCCCAUAGAUGUAAUAUAUUCCAAUGAGUUGUAAGAAUUUUAAACCCAAAUGUUGGAAAGAACGUGAAAAUUUUAGCGGGAAAACUCUUUGUAUUUUUGGGUCUUGGACAUUAUGGAUUGAACUGCUUUCCUGAAUGCCUAAUAAAUGUGUGCUGCUUUCUUAUUUUUCUUCACCGAUUAUCUGAGGGUUUUAUAUUUAGAACCAUAUAUUCUUUAUCUUCCUUUUAAUAUAUUUUUUAAAAUUUUUUAAAAUAAACUUUGGCAUUAGUUAUAUCUUCUCACAGAUUUGUUGAUUGGUAAUUUGAUUGGUUACCCAUUUUUAUAUUUGCACAUUAUCCUCUUAUUUCAUUCAUAGAAUAUUUCUUUG